UCUUUCAAGAUAUGUUUGUUGGUAGAAUUAUACCUGAUGCAGAAAAUCCAGGAAUGGCCUCGUUUGACGGAACUCUUGACUCUGUUCCGCAGUAUCAAUAUUCUCUAAUGGCGGUACAAUACGACAACUUUCAUUUGCUCUAUGGUUGUGAAGAUGGUAAAGGACGGCAAGAUAGUUUAGAGACCGCAUUUAUUUUCUCACGUACACCAGAGCCAUUGGAGAGAUCUGAGCUAGAUAAUGUAUAUUGUCUUCUAGGAAGUAACGGCGUAGAUCCAGAUAAGUUUGUGUUCGUUGACCAUCGCAAUUGCCCAAAUCUACAAUAGAGGCUCACAAAUGUAUUUUAGUAGACUUCUAUAAUAAACAAAUAUUUUGAAUUAGACAUAUACAGUGUAUGUCUUUGUUUUAUGAGUUGCAUUAUGAUACUAUCUAGAUGUCUUAUUC